CACGAACGCUGGCGGCAGGCUUAGCACAUGCAAGUCGAGCGCCCCGCAAGGGGAGCGGCAGACGGGUGAGUAACGCGUGGGAAUCUACCCAUCUCUACGGAAUAACGCAUGGAAACGUGUGCUAAUACCGUAUACGUCCUUCGGGAGAAAGAUUUAUCGGAGAUGGAUGAGCCCGCGUUGGAUUAGCUAGUUGGUGGGGUAAAGGCCUACCAAGGCGACGAUCCAUAGCUGGUCUGAGAGGAUGAUCAGCCACACUGGGACUGAGACACGGCCCAGACGCCUACGGGAGGCAGCAGUGGGGAAUAUUGGACAAUGGGCGCAAGCCUGAUCCAGCCAUGCCGCGUGAGUGAUGAAGGCCCUAGGGUUGUAAAGCUCUUUCACCGGUGAAGAUAAUGACGGUAACCGGAGAAGAAGCCCCGGCUAACUUCGUGCCAGCAGCCGCGGUAAAAC
rnacentral:rRNA from 1 species